rnacentral:rRNA from 1 species
GGGAUUUAUUGGGCGUAAAGCGAGCGCAGGCGGUUUUUUAAGUCUGAUGUGAAAGCCUUCGGCUCAACCGAAGAAGUGCAUCGGAAACUGGGAGACUUGAGUGCAGAAGAGGACAGUGGAACUCCAUGUGUAGCAGUGAAAUGCGUAGAUAUAUGGAAGAACACCAGUGGCGAAGGCGGCUGUCUGGUCUGUAACUGACGCUGAGGCUCGAAAGUAUGGGUAGCAAACAGGAUUAGAUACCCUGGUAGUCCAUACCGUAAACGAUGAAUGCUAAGUGUUGGAGGGUUUCCGCCCUUCAGUGCUACAGCUAACGCAUUAGGCAUUCCGCCUGGGGAGUACGGCCGCAAGGCUGAAACUCAAAGGAAUUGACGGGGGCCCGCACAAGCGGUGGAGCAUGUGGUUUAAUUCGAAGCUACGCGAAGAACCUUACCAGGUCUUGACAUACUAUGCAAAUCUAAGAGAUUAGACGUUCCCUUCGGGGACAUGGAUACAGGUGGUGCAUGGUUGUCGUCAGCUCGUGUCGUGAGAUGUUGGGUUAAGUCCCGCAACGAGCGCAACCCUUAUUAUCAGUUGCCAGCAUUAAGUUGGGCACUCUGGUGAGACUGCCGGUGACAAACCGGAGGAAGGUGGGGAUGACGUCAAAUCAUCAUGCCCCUUAUGACCUGGGCUACACACGUGCUACAAUGGAUGGUACAACGAGUUGCGAACUCGCGAGAGUAAGCUAAUCUCUUAAAGCCAUUCUCAGUUCGGAUUGUAGGCUGCAACUCGCCUACAUGAAGUCGGAAUCGUUAGUAAUCGCGGAUCAGCAUGCCGCGGUGAAUACGUUCCCGGGCC